rnacentral:rRNA from 1 species
UUAAGAUAGAAAGGGCGCACGGUGGAUGCCUAGGCACUAGGAGCCGAAGAAGGACGCGACAAACGGCGAAACGCCUCGGGGAGCUGUAAGUGAGCGAAGAUCCGGGGAUAUCCGAAUGGGGGAACCUGGCGGGAGUAAUAUCCUGUCACCCAUACCUGAAAAGAUAGGGUAUGAGGAGGGAACCCAGGGAACUGAAACAUCUAAGUACCUGGAGGAAAAGAAAGAAAGAUCGAUUUCCUAAGUAGCGGCGAGCGAAAGGGAAGGAGCCCAAACCAUGGGGACAUGGGGUAGAAGGACCACCAAGGAAGGUAUAGGCAGUAUAGACGAAUGACUUGGGAAAGUCAACCGAAGAAGGUGAAAGUCCUGUAGUCGAAAUACUGAAUAUAUCAAGGUGGGAUCCUGAGUACAACCAGACACGAGGAAUCUGGUUGGAAUUAGCGAGGACCAUCUCGUAAGGCUAAAUACUCCCUAGUGACCGAUAGUGAACCAGUACCGUGAGGGAAAGGUGAAAAGAACCCCGGGAGGGGAGUGAAAGAGAACCUGAAACCGUGUGCCUACAAGUAGUCAGAGCCCGUUAAAGGGUGAUGGCGUGCCUUUUGUAGAAUGAACCGGCGAGUUACGGCAUAGUGCGAGGUUAAGUGGAGAAGACACGGAGCCGAAGCGAAAGCGAGUCUGAAGAGGGCGAGAAGUAUUAUGCCGUAGACCCGAAACCGAGUGAGCUAGCCAUGUGCAGGGUGAAGGUUGGGUAAAGCCAACUGGAGGCCCGAACCGUAGCCUGUUGAAAAAGGCCCGGAUGACAUGUGGCUAGGGGUGAAAAGCCAAACGAACUCGGAGAUAGCUGGUUCUCCCCGAAAUAGCUUUAGGGCUAGCCUCGUGUAGGGAAUAUCGGAGGUAGAGCACUGAAUACCUGAUGGCCUCACCUCGAGGUACUGAAUGUAAUCAAACUGCGAAUGCCGAUAUAUCGCACACGGGAGUCAGACUAUGGGCGAUAAGGUCCAUAGUCAAGAGGGAAAGAGCCCAGACCGCCAGCUAAGGUCCCGGAAUUGACGUUAAGUGGGAAAGGAUGUGGAGGCACAGAGACAACUAGGAUGUUGGCUUAGAAGCAGCCAUCAUUUAAAGAGUGCGUAAUAGCUCACUAGUCGAGUGAAUCUGCGCCGAAAAUGUAACGGGGCUAAAACGUCAUACCGAAGCUGCGGAUUUAGGUAAGACCUAGAUGGUAGGGGAGCGUUCUAACAGCGGAGAAGCUAGACCGGAAGGACUAGUGGAGCGGUUAGAAGUGAGAAUGCCGGUGUGAGUAGCGAGAAGAUAGGUGAGAAUCCUAUCCGUCGAAAGCCUAAGGAUUCCAGAGGAAGGCUCGUCCGCUCUGGGUAAGUCGGGACCUAAGGAGAGGCCGAGAGGCGUAUCCGAUGGGAGAAACUGGUUGAUAUUCCAGUACCACCAUAAUAACUGAAGGAGUGACGAAGAAGGCGAAGGUGAGCCCACUGAUGGAAUAGUGGGUCUAAGCAGCGAGGGGGUCACGUGAGGCAAAUCCCAUGUGGCGAGAACUCUGAGCUGUGAAAGAUAGCUGAUGUAAAGUCAGCGAAGCACCAAGAGUCAGGCUUCCGAGAAAAGCUUCUAGGGCAAAUUAUUAUGGUGCCCGUACCAAAACCGACACAGGUAGGCGAGGAGAGAAUCCUAAGACGCGCGAGAGAACCAUCGUCAAGGAACUCGGCAAAAUGACCCCGUAACUUCGGGAGAAGGGGUGCUUAUGGAGACAUAAGCCGCAGUGAAAGGGCCCAAGCGACUGUUUAACAAAAACACAGGUCUCUGCGAAACCGGAAGGUGAAGUAUAGGGGCUGACGCCUGCCCGGUGCUGGAAGGUUAAGGGGAGAUGUCAGGCAACGAAGCAUCGAACCGAAGCCCCAGUAAACGGCGGCCGUAACUAUAACGGUCCUAAGGUAGCGAAAUUCCUUGUCGGGUAAGUUCCGACCCGCACGAAAGGCGUAACGAUUUGGGCGCUGUCUCGACGGUGGACUCGGUGAAAUCAUAGUACCUGUGAAGAUGCAGGUUACCCGCGACAGGACGGAAAGACCCCGUGGAGCUUUACUGCAGCUUGAUAUUGGACUUUGGUGCAGCAUGUACAGGAUAGGUAGGAGACUAAGAAUCUGGGACGCCAGUUUCAGAGGAGUCGACGUUGGGAUACUACCCUUGUUGUACUGAGGUUCUAACUAGCGUUUAAGAAACGAGACGUAGGACAGUGUCAGGUGGGCAGUUUGACUGGGGCGGUCGCCUCCUAAAGAGUAACGGAGGCGCCCAAAGGUUCCCUCAGAAUGGUUGGAAAUCAUUCGGAGAGCGCAAAGGCAGAAGGGAGCUUGACUGUGAGAGAGACAACUCGAGCAGGGACGAAAGUCGGGCUUAGUGAUCCGGCGGUGCCGAAUGGAAGGGCCGUCGCUCAACGGAUAAAAGCUACCCCGGGGAUAACAGGCUUAUCUCCCCCAAGAGUCCACAUCGACGGGGAGGUUUGGCACCUCGAUGUCGGCUCAUCGCAUCCUGGGGCUGAAGUAGGUCCCAAGGGUUGGGCUGUUCGCCCAUUAAAGCGGUACGCGAGCUGGGUUCAGAACGUCGUGAGACAGUUCGGUCCCUAUCCGUCGCGGGCGCAGGAAAUUUGAGAGGAGCUGUCCCUAGUACGAGAGGACCGGGAUGGACAUACCGCUGGUGUACCAGUUGUCUCGCCAGGGGCACGGCUGGGUAGCCAAGUAUGGAAGGGAUAAACGCUGAAAGCAUCUAAGCGUGAAGCCCCCCUCAAGAUGAGAUUUCCCAUUCUGAAAGGAAGUAAGAACCCUUGAAGAAGACGAGGUAGAUAGGCCAGAGGUGGAAGCGUGGUGACACGUGGAGCUGACUGGUACUAAUAGUUCGAGGGCUUAACCUA